rnacentral:rRNA from 1 species
AAACAUGUCUUUUUGAUUUAUAUUUAAAGUCUGACCUGCCCACUGAAUAAUUUUAAAUGGCCGCAGUAUUUUGACUGUGCAAAGGUAGCAUAAUCAUUAGUCUUUUAAUUGGAGGCUGGUAUGAACGGUUGGACGAGGUAUAAGCUGUUUCAUGUAAAUUUAUAAUAGAAUUUUAUAUUUUAGUUAAAAAGCUAAAAUUUAGUUAAAAGACGAGAAGACCCUAUAAAUCUUUAUAAUUAAUAUUCAUUGAAUUUUUUUGAUUUGUUUUAUUUUUUUUUUAUUGAUUAUUUUGUUGGGGUGAUGUUAAAAUUUAAUGAACUUUUAAUUUUUAAAAUCAUUAAUUUAUGAUUUAUUGAUCCGUUAAUAAUGAUUAUAAGAUUAAGUUACUUUAGGGAUAACAGCGUAAUUUUUUUUGAGAGUUCAUAUCGACAAAAAAGUUUGCGACCUCGAUGUUGGAUUAAGGUAUAAUUUUGGGUGUAGCUGUUCAAAAAUUAAGUCUGUUCGACUUUUAAAUCCUUACAUGAU